rnacentral:lncRNA from 1 species
GAAUCCAGAUGACAAAAAUAGAUUAAUUUUUUAUGUAGUGCACUGCGGUUAAUCCUUGUGCUCACAGUACACUUUAUUUAGAAUCACUGCAGAAUUCCUCCUCUGAUUUUUCUCCCUGAAAUUAGACUGUAAUGAUAUGCUUCAGACUUCACAGGAGCCUAAAGAUCUUAAACCUGUAUGUCCUGAGCUACCACAUCAGUCAGAAGCAUACCUUUCUUUUUCUUUACAGGCAUCUCUAAGCGACAAAAUCUAGUAUUUGGACACAAGGAGUUGUGAACUACCUGGAUCAAGAAGAUAGCUCAGGUCUGACCUAAAAAGUAGUGAAAUAUAAGGUUUCAAAUGCAUUUUGUAAGAUUUGUAAAUGAAAACAAAAAAAAUAAAAAAAAAAAAAAGGAAAUAU